UAACUUAUUAACUUUAUUAUCCGAAUUUCCAAAUACAAAAAACAUUGGUUCCGCAGCGCAGCUACACGUGUACAUUCCAUAUACACAAAUAAUUCCGUUGGCGCAAAUCGAACUAAGAAAUGACAAAUGAAAAGACAAGAAUUGUAGGUGCUAAAAAAAGAAAGUCGCAUGCAGGAUAAGCAAACACUGGAGGACGAUCCUUUACCAUGCAUGCACGUAGACGUACAUGCACGCACUUAAUUGGUACUAGUUGAUUGCGCGGCAGUUCUUCCUGAUCUGUCCCUGGUCACCGGUCUUGACCUCGAUGCCGGCCAUCUUCACCAUGGCCUUCUCGAACCUGUCCUCCCACCAUCCGGGGAUGUUGGCGUUGUCCACCACCAUCCUCGCCGUCUCCUCGGAGGUCAGGAGCGCCGCGUCGGAGGUGAAGAGCACCGUGUGCGACAGCACGUUCUUGUAGUACUGCCUGUCCAGGUCAUUCGGGGUCACCACGUCCUGCAUCACUGUGGGGUCAUUGCCGCCCGGGGCCGCAUCAGCGGGGCAUUGGUCACGCAGGAACGCGGCGAGGCCGCCGUUGAUGUCGGAGGGGGCGUUGAGGCGGUCAGGCACAAAGGAGGAGCAGUGGGAGCGACCGAUGGUGUGCGCUCCGGACAGGAUGACCAGGUCCUCCGCGUCCAGGCCCUUGACGACGAGGCUAUCGACGAGGUCGCUGAGGUUGGACGUGGGCGGGGCGAGAAACUUGAGGGGCUCGGAGGCGUUGGAGAAGGUGCCAUCACGGCGGCCCGAUGGCACCUCGAAGUGUACCUUGCCGGCGCUGAGGAUGCAGGACGCAUCGCGGGCCGCGAAGGCGAUGAUGUCCGCGCAGGACACGGUGCCCGGACAGGCCACCUCAAGGGCUUCUUUAAUGGCGUCGAUCAGCUCAAAGCCGCGCAGCGACGGGUUGUUUGGCGGGCUGAGCUUCUCCGGCGUCGGGCUGAACGGGGUAGGAUCCAGGAGAACCGAAGCGUCACAGCCCUAAUAAGGUGAUCACCGACGACAGACUCGACAAAAUCAAUCAUCUAUAUAUCAAAGUACGUAUAACAUACAUGUUUGCAUUGCAAUUUAUUUCUUGCAAUGUACCUCGACGAAACAGUCGUGGAAGAGCAUUCGGAUCAUGGCGGCGCCAUUGCCGGGGUUCUGGGAGAUGGCCUCCAUCAUGACGCCCUUGACGACGGCCUCCGCCUGGGGGCACCUGUCGUGGUAGAACCCGAUCUGCAGAGGGCUGGCCCGGCACCCCACAGCGAGCAGCAGCAGCAAGGCACACGCCACCAGAACCUGCAGCUUCUUAACAGCAGCAGCCGCCAUUGUUUCAAGAUAGCUCGAGUUCUUGACUAAGAUUGAAAGAUGGGAAGUGGGAGGUGAUGGAUCGAU
rnacentral:lncRNA from 1 species